AGGUAACCAAUCCUGGCCCUAGGGUCCGAGUGACUCGGCCUUAGGAAGGCAAAUCCGAUCGGCAGAAAACUGGCGCCCGAGGAGGAAAAGAUCGAGCUCGUCACCCUGCGGCAGUCCGAGUGGACGCCCUUCAGGAGAAUUACGAGAGUUUUUGAAGACCCUGAAAGUGAAGCCACAAAACUGCAAAUAGUAAUAGAAAUGAAACCCAGAAUAGAAGCGCCAGCCUUCUGAGGCCCUCUCAACUGACCAGUGAUGGAGACCUAGCUGCACCCUUUACUGCACCCCCUUCUCAGCACGAAGCAGCCAGAGCGGUCAUCGCCCCUUUUCCCUAGCAGCAGCUAGAGUCCCUAUCUGUAGAAGAGAGAAUGAGACAAAGACCAAGACUCACUUUAUCCUCUGUAAGUAGGCAAAGAACCUGCAUUGAGAGAGUUCCUAAAACUUACACCUCCCUCUGCAACAGGACAGAA